rnacentral:piRNA from 1 species
UAAACUUAAUGAGCCGCCUUCUACA